GUUUGAUCCUGGCUCAGAUUGAACGCUGGCGGCAGGCCUAACACAUGCAAGUCGAACGGUAGCACAGAGAGCUUGCUCUUGGGUGACGAGUGGCGGACGGGUGAGUAAUGUCUGGGAAACUGCCCGAUGGAGGGGGAUAACUACUGGAAACGGUAGCUAAUACCGCAUAACGUCGCAAGACCAAAGUGGGGGACCUUCGGGCCUCACACCAUCGGAUGUGCCCAGAUGGGAUUAGCUAGUUGGUGAGGUAAUGGCUCACCAAGGCGACGAUCCCUAGCUGGUCUGAGAGGAUGACCAGCCACACUGGAACUGAGACACGGUCCAGACUCCUACGGGAGGCAGCAGUGGGGAAUAUUGCACAAUGGGCGCAAGCCUGAUGCAGCCAUGCCGCGUGUAUGAAGAAGGCCUUCGGGUUGUAAAGUACUUUCAGCGAGGAGGAAGGCGUUGUGGUUAAUAACCGCAGCGAUUGACGUUACUCGCAGAAGAAGCACCGGCUAACUCCGUGCCAGCAGCCGCGGUAAUACGGAGGGUGCAAGCGUUAAUCGGAAUUACUGGGCGUAAAGCGCACGCAGGCGGUCUGUCAAGUCGGAUGUGAAAUCCCCGGGCUCAACCUGGGAACUGCAUUCGAAACUGGCAGGCUAGAGUCUUGUAGAGGGGGGUAGAAUUCCAGGUGUAGCGGUGAAAUGCGUAGAGAUCUGGAGGAAUACCGGUGGCGAAGGCGGCCCCCUGGACAAAGACUGACGCUCAGGUGCGAAAGCGUGGGGAGCAAACAGGAUUAGAUACCCUGGUAGUCCACGCCGUAAACGAUGUCUAUUUGGAGGUUGUUCCCUUGAGGAGUGGCUUCCGGAGCUAACGCGUUAAAUAGACCGCCUGGGGAGUACGGCCGCAAGGUUAAAACUCAAAUGAAUUGACGGGGGCCCGCACAAGCGGUGGAGCAUGUGGUUUAAUUCGAUGCAACGCGAAGAACCUUACCUACUCUUGACAUCCAGAGAAYUUASCAGAGAUGCUUUGGUGCCUUCGGGAACUSUGAGACAGGUGCUGCAUGGCUGUCGUCAGCUCGUGUUGUGAAAUGUUGGGUUAAGUCCCGCAACGAGCGCAACCCUUAUCCUUUGUUGCCAGCGGUUCGGCCGGGAACUCAAAGGAGACUGCCAGUGAUAAACUGGAGGAAGGUGGGGAUGACGUCAAGUCAUCAUGGCCCUUACGAGUAGGGCUACACACGUGCUACAAUGGCAUAUACAAAGAGAAGCGACCUCGCGAGAGCAAGCGGACCUCAUAAAGUAUGUCGUAGUCCGGAUUGGAGUCUGCAACUCGACUCCAUGAAGUCGGAAUCGCUAGUAAUCGUAGAUCAGAAUGCUACGGUGAAUACGUUCCCGGGCCUUGUACACACCGCCCGUCACACCAUGGGAGUGGGUUGCAAAAGAAGUAGGUAGCUUAACCUUCGGGAGGGCGCUUACCACUUUGUGAUUCAUGACUGGGGUGAAGUCGUAACAAGGUAACCGUAGGGGAACCUGCGGCUGGAUCA
rnacentral:rRNA from 1 species